AUGCAGCUCUAAGUGGGUGGUAAAUUCCAUCUAAAGCUAAAUAUUGGCGAGAGACCGAUAGCGAACAAGUACAGUGAUGGAAAGAUGAAAAGAACUUUGAAAAGAGAGUGAAAAAGUACGUGAAAUUGUUGAAAGGGAAGGGCUUGAGAUCAGACUUGGCAUUUUGCAUGUUGCUUCUUCGGGGGCGGCCUCUGCGGUUUGUCGGGCCAGCAUCAGUUUGGGCGGCAGGACAAUCGCGUGGGAAUGUGGCACGGCCUCGGCUGUGUGUUAUAGCCCGCGUGGAUACUGCCAGCCUAGACUGAGGACUGCGGUUUAUACCUAGGAUGUUGGCAUAAUGAUCUUAAGUCGCCCGUCUUGAAACACGGACCAAGGAGUCUAACGUCUAUGCGAGUGUUUGGGUGUAAAACCCGUACGCGUAAUGAAAGUGAACGUAGGUGGGGGCCCUCUCGGGGGUGCACCAUCGACCGAUCCUGAUGUCUUCGGAUGGAUUUGAGUAAGAGCAUAGCUGUUGGGACCCGAAAGAUGGUGAACUAUGCCUGAAUAGGGUGAAGCCAGAGGAAACUCUGGUGGAGGCUCGUAGCGGUUCUGACGUGCAAAUCGAUCGUCGAAUUUGGGUAUAGGGGCGAAAG
rnacentral:rRNA from 1 species